rnacentral:rRNA from 1 species
ACAAGCAGCAUUACUAUUUUGUAGCCUGACCUUGUAAGAUUUCAGAAACUCACCAAGGUUGAGCCUGGUCAGUACUGGGAUGGGAGAUUUCCAAGGAGAUCCAGGUUGCUGCUGUAU